rnacentral:rRNA from 1 species
AAUAUUGGACAAUGGGGGCAACCCUGAUCCAGCCAUGCCGCGUGAGUGAUGAAGGCCUUAGGGUUGUAAAGCUUCUUCAGUGGGGUAGAUAAUGACGGUACCCACAUCAUACGCUCCUGCUAACUUCGUGUCAGCAGCCUCGGUAAUACGAAGGGGGCUAGCGUUGUUCGGAUUUACUGGGCGUAAAGCGCACGUAGGCGGAUUGGUCAGUUAGGGGUGAAAUCCCGGAGCUCAACUCCGGAACUGCCUUUAAUACUGCCAGUCUAGAGUCCGAGAGAGGUGAGUGGAACUCCUAGUGUAGAGGUGGAAUUCGUAGAUAUUAGGAAGAACACCAGUGGCGAAGGCGGCUCACUGGCUCGGUACUGACGCUGAGGUGCGAAAGCGUGGGGAGCAAACA